rnacentral:rRNA from 1 species
ACGUAGGUGAAGUGAUUUACUCAUGGAGCUGAAGUCAGUCGAAGAUACCAGCUGGCUGCAACUGUUUAUUAAAAACACAGCACUGUGCAAACACGAAAGUGGACGUAUACGGUGUGACGCCUGCCCGGUGCCGGAAGGUUAAUUGAUGGGGUCAGCGCAAGCGAAGCUCCUGAUCGAAGCCCCGGUAAACGGCGGCCGUAACUAUAACGGUCCUAAGGUAGCGAAAUUCCUUGUCGGGUAAGUUCCGACCUGCACGAAUGGCGUAAUGAUGGCCAGGCUGUCUCCACCCGAGACUCAGUGAAAUUGAACUCGCUGUGAAGAUGCAGUGUACCCGCGGCAAGACGGAAAGACCCCGUGAACCUUUACUAUAGCUUGACACUGAACAUUGAGCCUUGAUGUGUAGGAUAGGUGGGAGGCUUUGAAGUGUGGACGCCAGUCUGCAUGGAGCCGACCUUGAAAUACCACCCUUUAAUGUUUGAUGUUCUAACGUGGACCCGUUACCCGGGUUGCGGACAGUGUCUGGUGGGUAGUUUGACUGGGGCGGUCUCCUCCUAAAGAGUAACGGAGGAGCACGAAGGUUGGCUAAUCCUGGUCGGACAUCAGGAGGUUAGUGCAAUGGCAUAAGCCAGCUUGACUGCGAGCGUGACGGCGCGAGCAGGUGCGAAAGCAGGUCAUAGUGAUCCGGUGGUUCUGAAUGGAAGGGCCAUCGCUCAACGGAUAAAAGGUACUCCGGGGAUAACAGGCUGAUACCGCCCAAGAGUUCAUAUCGACGGCGGUGUUUGGCACCUCGAUGUCGGCUCAUCACAUCCUGGGGCUGAAGUAGGUCCCAAGGGUAUGGCUGUUCGCCAUUUAAAGUGGUACGCGAGCUGGGUUUAGAACGUCGUGAGACAGUUCGGUCCCUAUCUGCCGUGGGCGCUGGAGAACUGAGGGGGGCUGCUCCUAGUACGAGAGGACCGGAGUGGACGCAUCACUGGUGUUCGGGUUGUCAUGCCAAUGGCACUGCCCGGUAGCUAAAUGCGGAAGAGAUAAGUGCUGAAAGCAUCUAAGCACGAAACUUGCCCCGAGAUGAGUUCUCCCUGAGACUUUAGGUCUCCUGAAGGAACGUUGAAGACGACGACGUUGAUAGGCCGGGUGUGUAAGCGCAGCGAUGCGUUGAGCUAACCGGUACUAAUGAACCGUGAGGCUUAACCUUACAACGCCGAAG